CCUACGGGUGGCUGCAGUGGGGAAUAUUGGACAAUGGGCGAAAGCCUGAUCCAGCCAUGCCGCGUGUGUGAAGAAGGCCUUCGGGUUGUAAAGCACUUUCAGUGGGGAAGAAAGCCUUGGGGCUAAUACCCUCGAGGAAGGACAUCACCCACAGAAGAAGCACCGGCUAACUCCGUGCCAGCAGCCGCGGUAAUACGGAGGGUGCGAGCGUUAAUCGGAAUUACUGGGCGUAAAGCGCGCGUAGGCGGUCUGAUAAGCCGGUUGUGAAAGCCACGGGCUCAACCUGGGAACGGCAUCCGGAACUGUCAGGCUAGAGUGCAGGAGAGGAAGGUAGAAUUCCCGGUGUAGCGGUGAAAUGCGUAGAGAUCGGGAGGAAUACCAGUGGCGAAGGCGGCCUUCUGGACUGACACUGACGCUGAGGUGCGAAAGCGUGGGUAGCAAACAGGAUUAGAUACCCUGGUAGUC
rnacentral:rRNA from 1 species